rnacentral:rRNA from 1 species
UACAGAGGGGGCAAGCGUUGUUCGGAAUUACUGGGCGUAAAGGGCGCGUAGGCGGCCUUCUAAGUCGAACGUGAAAUCCCCGUGCUCAACCCGGGAACUGCGUCCGAUACUGGAAGGCUUGAAUCCGGGAGAGGGAUGCGGAAUUCCAGGUGUAGCGGUGAAAUGCGUAGAUAUCUGGAGGAACACCGGUGGCGAAGGCGGCAUCCUGGACCGGUAUUGACGCUGAGGCGCGAAAGCCAGGGGAGCAAACGGG